rnacentral:rRNA from 1 species
CAGCAGCCGCGGUAAUACGUAGGGUGCAAGCGUUAAUCGGAAUUACUGGGCGUAAAGCGUGCGCAGGCGGUUAUAUAAGACAGAUGUGAAAUCCCCGGGCUCAACCUGGGAACUGCAUUUGUGACUGUAUAGCUAGAGUACGGCAGAGGGGGAUGGAAUUCCGCGUGUAGCAGUGAAAUGCGUAGAUAUGCGGAGGAACACCGAUGGCGAAGGCAAUCCCCUGGGCCUGUACUGACGCUCAUGCACGAAAGCGUGGGGAGCAAACGGGAUUAGAUACCCCGGUAGUCCCUGUCUCUUAUAC